rnacentral:rRNA from 1 species
GACGAACGCUGGCGGCGUGCUUAACACAUGCCAGUCGAACGGAAAGGCCCUGCUUUUGUGGGGUGCUCGAGUGGCGAACGGGUGAGUAACACGUGAGUAACCUGCCCUUGACUUUGGGAUAACUUCAGGAAACUGGGGCUAAUACCGGAUAGGAGCUCCUGCUGCAUGGUGGGGGUUGGAAAGUUUCGGCGGUUGGGGAUGGACUCGCGGCUUAUCAGCUUGUUGGUGGGGUAGUGGCUUACCAAGGCUUUGACGGGUGGCCGGCCUGAGAGGGUGACCGGCCACAUUGGGACUGAGAUACGGCCCAGACUCCUACGGGAGGCAGCAGUGGGGAAUAUUGCACAAUGGGCGGGAGCCUGAUGCAGCAACGCCGCGUGCGGGAUGACGGCCUUCGGGUUGUAAACCGCUUUCGCCUGUGACGAAGCGUGAGUGACGGUAAUGGGUAAAGAAGCACCGGCUAACUACGUG